GACUUCGUGGUGUAGUGAUCAGCGUACCCGUCCGAAGAACGGGAGACGUAGGUUCAAAUACUGCCGGUGACU
rnacentral:tRNA from 1 species